UACGUAGGGGGCAAGCGUUGUCCGGAUUUAUUGGGCGUAAAGAGCGUGUAGGCGGCCAGAUAAGUCCGCUGUGAAAUCUCGAGGCUCAACUUCGAGCUGUCGGUGGAAACUAUCUGGCUAGAGUCCGGAAGAGGAGAAUGGAAUUCCUGGUGUAGCGGUGAAAUGCGCAGAUAUCAGGAAGAACACCCGUGGCGAAGGCGGUUCUCUGGGACGGUACUGACGCUGAGACGCGAAAGCGUGGGAGCGAACAGG
rnacentral:rRNA from 1 species